GGAUGAGACCAAAUCUUGGGGGAGCAGGGGAGGCAGAGCUGCGGGGUUUUGACUUUGCUCCGAGUCUAAUUGACUCUUCCGCUUCGUAGGAGGCCCAACAGCAGAGCUGAGCCCACCCGGCUCAGGGGAAGACCGUCGGGGGCUAAGGCCGCCCUGGAAGUCCAAGUACGAGCUGUGUUUCUUGAAGAGGCUGAGCCGGGCAAGGCUGUGACAUUGGCCCUGGAGACUGGUUUCCCACGAGCUGUUCUUUUUCAAGAGCUCCACGGCGCGGGGCCAUCCCCAGAAAACAGUCCUCAGCGUGUAUUUCCUUUUAGCGUCAACACGGAGCCCCACGGCAGCAAAUGAAUGCAAGAGGCCAAAAAUGUUUUGGAGGAAGAAAAACAAAGGCAGGAAGUGGCGGCCGACUGACGGUCUAGGCAGCCCUCGCGGGGCCGGCCCCGUCGCUCCCCGCGCAGCGUUUGGAGAUGGCCACCCGGAGAGGAGAAGCCUGGCGCCCGCACCAAGCUCGUCAGGCGGAAAUGGCUAACGAGGAGAUUGGCUCUGCAAAGCAGACCUGGCCUUUCCAAGGCUUCGUUUAAUUUGGCCCUAAAGUUGGAGGGGGGAGUUGGGGGUUCUGCAGCGCCUCCGGACCCUCCUCGGGCGGGCUGCGUGCGCCCUGGCAGUGCCGGGACGAAUCGUGCGCCCCGCGCUCCACGCGCCUUCGUAGGCGGGAUAUCGGAAUAAAGUGUGUCCAGGUGCUUCUGCCCAGCA